GAUGAACGCUGGCGGCGUGCCUAAUACAUGCAAGUCGAGCGAACAGACGAGGAGCUUGCUCCUCUGACGUUAGCGGCGGACGGGUGAGUAACACGUGGAUAACCUACCUAUAAGACUGGGAUAACUUCGGGAAACCGGAGCUAAUACCGGAUAAUAUAUUGAACCGCAUGGUUCAAUAGUGAAAGACGGUUUUCUGUCACUUAUAGAUGGAUCCGCGCCGCAUUAGCUAGUUGGUAAGGUAACGGCUUACCAAGGCGACGAUGCGUAGCCGACCUGAGAGGGUGAUCGGCCACACUGGAACUGAGGCACGGUCCAGACUCCUACGGGAGGCAGCAGUAGGGAAUCUUCCGCAAUGGGCGAAAGCUUGACGGAGCAACGCCGCGUGAGUGAUGAAGGUCUUCGGAUCGUAAAACUCUGUUAUUAGGGAAGAACAAAUGUGUAAGUAACUAUGCACGUCUUGACGGUACCUAAUCAGAAAGCCACGGCUAACUACGUG
rnacentral:rRNA from 1 species